GUUGCUCGGAAUUAUUGGGCGUAAAGCGCACGUAGGUGGUUUGUUAAGUCUGAUGUGAAAGCCCUGGGCGCAAACUGGGAAUGGCAUUGGAAACGGGCUGACUGGAGUGCGGUAGAGGGUAGUGGAAUUCCCGGUGUAGCAGUGAAAUGCGUAGAUAUCGGGAGGAACAUCCGUGGCGAAGGCGACUACCUGGACCAGCACUGACACUGAGGCACGAAAGCGUGGGGAGCAA
rnacentral:rRNA from 1 species